ensembl:lncRNA
GAAAACUACAAAACCAACAAAAAAAACUACUUCCUGAAUGGAUAUUUCUCAGGUUUUCACCUGCCAAAUCAGUUCUGUUAUACUCAGACACUAUUUUAACAGUUUUGGAAACUUUAGAGUGUUUUCUAUCCAAAUCUACCAGUUAUAUGCAUAUCAUGUCUUCUGGGCCCGAGUAGCAGGCAGUUUAAUUUGGGCAUGCUUUUACCUAGAGAAGUUAAAUCAAACCAUGUUAGAGGACCUUUCACCUUUUAUCUGUUAGACUAUGUCUGUGUUUACUGUGUGUGUGUGUUAGCGCAGUCGCAGUGUGUGUGUGUGUGUGUUAGCGCAGUGUGUGUGUGUGUGUGUGUGUGUUAGCGCAGUGUGUGUGUGUUGUGUCCUGUGUGUGUGUGGUAGCGCAGUGUGUGUGUGUGGUAGCGCAGUGUGUGUGUGUGGUAGCGCAGUGUGUGUGUUUGGGGAAGUCCAGUUUGGUGGUUAGUCUGGGCAGCCAGUGUGUGCAGGGGUCGGUACAUAGAUCUGUGUGAGUUAGGGUAGUGUGUGUGUGGCUGUAAGUGUGUGUGUUGGAAAGUUUGGGAAAGUCCAGUUCUGUUGAUUCGUCACUGAGACGGUGGGCUGAUAUGCCUGUGUAUGCCGGGGUCAGUGUAUAGGACUGUGUUUAUAUAGUGGGGUCGGUGUAUAGGACUGUGUUUAUAUAGUGGGGUCGGUGUAUAGGACUGUGUUUAUAUAGUGGGGUCGGUGUAUAGGACUGUGUUUAUAUAGUGGGGUCAGUUGUUAGGACUGUGUUUAUAUAGUGGGGUCAGUGUACAGGACUGUGUUUAUAUAGUGGGGUCAGUGUAUAGGACUGUUUAUAUA